rnacentral:rRNA from 1 species
ACGGGUGAGUAUAAUGUAGGUAUCUGCCUUUUGGUUUGGAAUAACACGAGGAAACUUGUGCUAAUACCGGAUAAGCCUUCACAGGGAAAGUUUUAACGCCAAAAGAUGAGCCUGCACUUGAUUAGCUAGUUGGUAAGGUAAUGGCUUACCAAGGCUACGAUCAAUAGCUGUUCUUAGAGGAAGAUCAGCCACAUUGGGACUGAGACACGGCCCAAACUCCUACGGGAGGCAGCAGUGGGGAAUCUUGCACAAUGGGGGAAACCCUGAUGCAGCGAUGCCGCGUGAGUGAAGAAGGCCUUUGGGUUGUAAAGCUCUUUCGUCGGGGAAGAAAAUGACUGUACCCGAAUAAGAAGGUCCGGCUAACUUCGUGCCAGCAGCCGCGGUAAUACGAAGGGACCUAGCGUAGUUCGGAAUUACUGGGCUUAAAGAGCACGUAGGUGGUUAAAAAAGUUGGUGGUGAAAUCCCAAGGCUUAACCUUGGAACUGCCACCAAAACUUUUUAGCUAGAGUAUGAUUGAGGUAAGCGGAAUUUCUAGUGUAGAGGUGAAAUUCGUAGAUAUUAGAAAGAACACCAAUUGCGAAGGCAGCUUUCUGGAUCAUUACUGACACUGAGGUGCGAAAGCAUGGGUA